UGCCCAGCAACUCCUAUCCCUACCUCUACGUGGUACCGGCUGGAAACUACGAGCAACCUUAAGGAAGAUCGGGUCGUUGGUUCACUGGGAAGG
rnacentral:ribozyme from 1 species